UCAACUUGAGAGUUUGAUUCUGGCUCAGAACGAACGCUGGCGGCAUGCCUAACACAUGCAAGUCGAACGAGACCUUCGGGUCUAGUGGCGCACGGGUGCGUAACGCGUG
rnacentral:rRNA from 1 species